rnacentral:rRNA from 1 species
AGAGUUUGAUCCUGGCUCAGGAUGAACGCUGGCGGCGUGCUUAACACAUGCAAGUCGAGCGGUAAGGUCUCUUCGGAGAUACACGAGCGGCGGACGGCUGAGUAACACGUAGGAACCUACCCCAAACUGAGGGAUAAGCACCAGAAAUGGUGUCUAAUACCGCAUAUGCUCUUUGUGAGUAAAGCUACGGCGGUUUGGGA